GAUGAACGCUAGCGGCAGGCCUAACACAUGCAAGUCGAGGGAGAAGCCCUUUCGGGGGCAGAAACCGGCGCACGGGUGCGUAACGCGUAUGCAACCUACCUUUCACAGGGGGAUAGCCCGAAGAAAUUUGGAUUAAUACCCCAUAAUAUUAUUGGAUGGCAUCAUUUGAUAAUUAAAACUGCGGUGGUGAAAGAUGGGCAUGCGUCCUAUUAGCUAGUUGGAGUGGUAACGGCACCCCAAGGCUACGAUAGGUAGGGGUCCUGAGAGGGAGAUCCCCCACACUGGUACGGAGACAGGGACCAGACUCCUACGGGAGGCAGCAGUGAGGAAUAUUGGUCAAUGGUCGGAAGACUGAACCAGCCAUGCCGCGUGCAGUAAGAAUGCCUUAUGGGUUGUAAACUGCUUUUAUAUGGGAAGAAUAAGGCGUACGUGUACGUUGAUGACGGUACCAUAUGAAUAAGCAUCGGCUAACUCCGUG
rnacentral:rRNA from 1 species